rnacentral:rRNA from 1 species
UACGGGGGGGGCAAGCGUUGUUCGGAAUUACUGGGCGUAAAGGGUCUGUAGGUGGCCAACUAAGUCAGACGUGAAAUCCCUCAGCUUAACUGGGGAACUGCGUCUGAUACUGGUUGGCUUGAGUGCAGGAGAGGAAUGCGGAAUUCCAGGUGUAGCGGUGAAAUGCGUAGAGAUCCGGAAGAACACCGGAGGCGAAGGCGGCUUGCUGGGCUUGGUCUGACGCUGAGGCGCGAAAGCGUGGGGAGCGAACAGG